rnacentral:rRNA from 1 species
AACGAACGCUGGCGGCAUGCCUAACACAUGCAAGUCGAACGAAACCAUCGGGUCUUGUGGCGCCCGGGUUCGUCACGCGUGGGAACCUUCCCUUAGGUUCGGCAUAACUCUCCGAAAGGGGUGCUAAUACCGGAUAAUGUCUUCGGCCCAAAGAUUUAUCGCCUUUGGAUGGGCCCGCGUUGGAUUCGCUAGUUGGUAGGGUAAAAGCCUACCACGGGGAGGAUCAAUAGCUGGUUAGAGAGAAUGCUCAGCCACACUGGGACGGGGAAGCGGCCCAGACUCUUACGGGAUGCAGGAGUGGGGAAUAGAGGAAAACGGGGGAAAUGCUGAACGAGCAAGGCCGCGUGAGUGAUGUAGGCAGUAGGGAUGUAAAGCGCUUUUAACCGGGAUGAUAAUGACGGUACCGGGAGAAUAAGCUCCGGCUAACUCCGUG